ACGCACGCUGGCGGCGUGCUUAACACAUGCAAGUCGAACGGAAAGGCCCUGCUUUUGUGGGGUGCUCGAGUGGCGGACGGGUGAGUAACACGUGAGUAACCUGCCCUUGACUUUGGGAUAACUUCAGGAAACUGGGGCUAAUACCGGAUAGGAGCUCCUGCUGCAUGGUGGGGGUUGGAAAGUUUCGGCGGUUGGGGAUGGACUCGCGGCUUAUCAGCUUGUUGGUGGGGUAGUGGCUUACCAAGGCUUUGACGGGUAGCCGGCCUGAGAGGGUGACCGGCCACAUUGGGACUGAGAUACGGCCCAGACUCCUACGGGAGGCAGCAGUGGGGAAUAUUGCACAAUGGGCGGAAGCCUGAUGCAGCAACGCCGCGUGCGGGAUGACGGCCUUCGGGUUGUAAACCGCUUUCGCCUGUGACGAAGCGUGAGUGACGGUAAUGGGUAAAGAAGCACCGGCUAACUACGUG
rnacentral:rRNA from 1 species